rnacentral:rRNA from 1 species
GAUGAACGCUGGCGGCGUGCUUAACACAUGCAAGUCGAACGAAGCACUUGAAGUUUUUCGGAAUGGAAAGUGACUGAGUGGCGGACGGGUGAGUAACGCGUGGGUAACCUGCCUCAUACAGGGGGAUAACAGUUAGAAAUGACUGCUAAUACCGCAUAAGCGCACAGUACCGCAUGGUACGGUGUGAAAAACUCCGGUGGUAUGAGAUGGACCCGCGUCUGAUUAGCUAGUUGGUGAGGUAACGGCUCACCAAGGCGACGAUCAGUAGCCGACCUGAGAGGGUGACCGGCCACAUUGGGACUGAGACACGGCCCAAACUCCUACGGGAGGCAGCAGUGGGGAAUAUUGCACAAUGGGCGAAAGCCUGAUGCAGCGACGCCGCGUGAACGAAGAAGUAUUUCGGUAUGUAAAGUUCUAUCAGCAGGGAAGAAAAUGACGGUAUCUGACUAAGAAGCACCGGCUAAAUACGUGCCAGCAGCCGCCGUAAGAC